CUCCUACCUCUAUUUUCUCUUUCAAUGCUUUGAACAUCGACAAUACAACAUGUUCUUCCUCUAUCUGAUGGACUUCUUCCCGACUAGGCCAGAUAUCAUGCAGGUAAAUGUUCUUGCCAGUAGAGUCAGUACCUAGGGGCUCCGUCUGGAAGUCGAUGUUCACUGUGCCCGCUAUGGCAUAAGCCACCACCAGGGGCGGAGAAGCGAGGUAAUUGGCACGAACACAGUCACAGAGACGACCUUCAAAAUUUUUACUUCCAGAUAAAACUCCACAAGUAACCAAAUCACCCUGAAAAAAAACCAACCAAACACAUAAACAAAUAUAUUCAAUUCAAGAGAGGGCAUAAAUUUGGAUAAUCACAUGUAAG